AACUGUGGGUGCACCCGUCAGGGUGCGCGGUAGGAGAGCGUUCUAAGGGCGUUGAAGGUCGAUCGUGAGGACGGCUGGAGCGCUUAGAAGUGAGAAUGCCGGCAUGAGUAGCGAAAGAUCAGUGAGAAUCUGAUCCACCGUAUGACUAAGGUUUCCUGGGGAAGGCUCGUCCUCCCAGGGUUAGUCGGGAUCUAAGGCGAGGCCGCAAGGCGUAGUCGAUGACAAGCAGGUUGAGAUUCCUGCACUAGUUUAUUUUGUUUAAGCGAUGGAGGGACGCAGGAGGCUAAGGAAAGCGCACGGCUGGAAAAGUGCGUCCAAGCAGUAAGUCCGGUAGCGAGUGAAAUGCUUGCCGCCUUAAGGACAAGCUGUGAUGGGGAGCGAAAUUAAAGUAGCGAAGUUCCUGAUGUCACACUGCCAAGAAAAGCUUCUAGUGAGAAAUAAACUACCCGUACCGCAAACCGACACAGGUAGUCGAGGAGAGUAUCCUCAGGUGAGCGAGCGAACUCUCGUUAAGGAACUCGGCAAAAUGACCCCGUAACUUCGGAAGAAGGGGUGCUGACCGCAAGGUCAGCCGCAGUGAAUAGGCCCAAACAACUGUUUAUCAAAAACACAGGUCUCUGCUAAAUCGUAAGAUGAUGUAUAGGGGCUGACGCCUGCCCGGUGCUGGAAGGUUAAGAGGAUGAGUUAGCGCAAGCGAAGCCCAGAAUUGAAGCCCCAGUAAACGGCGGCCGUAACUAUAACGGUCCUAAGGUAGCGAAAUUCCUUGUCGGGUAAGUUCCGACCCGCACGAAAGGCGUAAUGAUUUGGGCACUGUCUCAACGAGAGACUCGGUGAAAUUAUAGUACCCGUGAAGAUGCGGGUUACCCGCGACAGGACGGAAAGACCCCAUGGAGCUUUACUGUAGCUUGAUAUUGAGUGUUGGUACCGCUUGUACAGGAUAGGUAGGAGCCGUAGAGAUCGGAACGCUAGUUUCGAUGGAGGCAUUGGUGGGAUACUACCCUAGCUGUAUGAACACUCUAACCCGCGCCACUGAUCGUGGCGGGAGACAGUGUCAGGUAGGCAGUUUGACUGGGGCGGUCGCCUCCUAAAAUGUAACGGAGGCGCCCAAAGGUUCCCUCAGAAUGGUUGGAAAUCAUUCGCAGAGUGUAAAGGUAGAAGGGAGCUUGACUGCGAGACUGACAAGUCGAGCAGGGACGAAAGUCGGGCUUAGUGAUCCGGUGGUUCCGUAUGGAAGGGCCAUCGCUCAACGGAUAAAAGCUACCCUGGGGAUAACAGGCUUAUCUCCCCCAAGAGUCCACAUCGACGGGGAGGUUUGGCACCUCGAUGUCGGCUCAUCGCAUCCUGGGGCUGUAGUCGGUCCCAAGGGUUGGGCUGUUCGCCCAUUAAAGCGGUACGCGAGCUGGGUUCAGAACGUCGUGAGACAGUUCGGUCCCUAUCCGUCGCGGGCGCAGGAAAUUUGAGAGGAGCUGUCCUUAGUACGAGAGGACCGGGAUGGACGUUCCGCUGGUGUACCAGUUGUGCCGCCAGGCGCAUCGCUGGGUAGCUAUGAACGGAAGGGAUAAACGCUGAAAGCAUCUAAGUGUGAAGCCCCCCUCGAGAUGAGAUUUCCCAUUCCUAUAUGGAAGUAAGACCCCUGAAAGAUGAUCAGGUAGAUAGGCUGGAAGUGGAAGUGCAGCGAUGCAUGGAGCGGACCAGUACUAAUCGGUCGAGGACUUAACCAA
rnacentral:rRNA from 1 species